rnacentral:rRNA from 1 species
CAAUAGCGUAUAUUAAAGUUGUUGCAGUUAAAAAGCUCGUAGUUGGAUUUCUGGGAGGGUGCCGCCGUCCGGCGUGUCCGUGUGCAGUGGCGCCCUUCCAUCCUUCUGUUAGCGUCUCUUGGCAUUCAUUUGCUGGUGGCGGGCUCAGAUAUUUUACCUUGAGAAAAUUAGAGUGUUUCAGGCAGGCUAGGCCGGAAUACAUUAGCAUGGAAUAAUGGAAUAGGACUACGGUCUCUUUGUUGGUUUGAGGGACUGCAGUAAUGAUUAAUAGGGAUAGUUGGGGGCAUUAGUAUUUAAUUGUCAGAGGUGGAAUUCUCAGAUUUGUCAAAGACUAACUUAUGCGAAAGCAUUUGCCAAGGAUGUUUUCAUUAA